ensembl:lncRNA
CUUGAACAUCAGCUAUUAUCGGUCGAUGAACACUGCAAGAUCAGCUUUGAGGUUUAUAUUUAAUUAAUAUAUUGAGAUUUAGUAAGAUAAAAGCCUACCAGAUGAACAAAACACUCCUCAUUGAAACAUACAUCUUCACAGCUCCUCUGACGACGCAGGUGGCAGCGGGGUGCAGAGAGCUUCCGUGGAAGCAUCAUGUUGGUUUAAAAAGAGAAAAGAAAGCAGGUGGAGUGCCAAAAAUAAACCAAGAAUAGAACCUGAGACCGCGUCUGUCCGGCUGCUCCUGCUGCAACAGGGCUGGGGAGGGACCCACGGCAUUCCCACAGGAGCUGAGGAAGGGGUGACAGACACCAUUUAAACUACUGUGUCCUGAUUAGGUCAGAUCUCUUCCACCCGUACCCUGUAUCACCAGAGAACAGAAUUUCCAUGCAGCCACUGGUUUGUCCUCAGACAGCGGCACUAGAAGUUACCGCGUUCAGCUUUUGUCCUAUUGCCUGGCUUCCCUGCCCUUGAUCUUCUUCCAGCAGUGGAAACAGCUCUCAUCUUCUCUUGAAUGAGAAUAUCAGUCUACCAACACCAGGUGCUUCUUUCCUUUUUUAAGAGCUCUGUUCAGAGCAUUCCUCCAGAGUGGAACUCUGCUACUUGGCCAAACCAAACAGCACCAACAGCUGAGCAGCCACUAACAUGAUGACGCAGGAGCACACCAUCCAAAGCAGAAGAGCAGUACACCAGCAACAAGGAUGAUCACAUCGAAGGCGGGAAAACACAACUGUCAGGCUUCAAGGACAAAGCCUAUUCUUACAUUGCCAUUCCUUAAAUCCAGACAUUAGAGCAAAAGGAAUGAGAAAAAAGCAGCUCACUCAUGGAUAGCUUACUGAGGAUACUGCAAAAGAUUAUGCUAAUCUUUGCUUCAUUGUCCUCUGCAAAAUGUUUUCAUACCAUGCCUUUUAUCUGUGGAAGGGAUGCACAACCUCUCAACUCUGUGACAGCGAGCACUUUCUGUGUGGUUUCUGCGUAAUUAACACCAGCACUGGAUCUUUUCAUUUUUGCUACUCAAGCUUAUGGCCUUUUAAGGGUACCCACAGGGGAGCAUCCCUCACCCCUUUGCUUGUGGCCUAAGUGAUAGUCCCAGCUUAUCCUUAGCUACAUAUACCAUCUGUUAAUAGCAGAAGGAUCAAAAACUUUUGGCUAGCCUGCAUUUCUCAAAGAAUGGGGGCAGGCAGCAUAAACAACACAUUAGACAAGAUUUCUAAGAGUUUUACUUCUGAGUUAGGCCCUAAAGACUCUGGGUUUUAUUUAGACUGCCAUCGUAUUAUUGUUUAGAUUAUGUUCAUGUGCACGGUUAUCGUAGGAGGUGGUAUAAUUCAGAUAAAAGUCAGCAUUUAAGAUUAAAUCUACCCAUGCAUAGUCCUGUUUUAUCAAGAAAAAUGCAACAUGUUGGAGGUGUCUUUUUGGCAAUCUGCACACAAUAAACACUUGGGCUGCAAUUUUACCCUAAAGUGAUCGUCCCAGUUUUUGAGAAUAAAAACAGAUGCUUGAGAGUUAUCAGCAAAAAUGAGAAUUGUACCCGACUUAAGAACACGGAAAUUGCCUCUGAGUAGCACAGACCUUAUCCAACACUUGCUAUCAGAUGCUAGUACUAUUUAUCUCCAGAAGCAGCAAAACAAUUGAAAAUAAUUGAAAACAAUAAAGUAUUGUAGUGUUUCAGCUCAUUGUCACGUAUUUUCUGCAUGCAGAUUUUAUCUAAUUAAGCAUGGGCUCUUUCCUGCCCGGGUACGUUACUUCCCUG